GAGGGAGUCACAUAGAAGGCUGAGGAGAGGCUGUUCAAGUGCAUGGGGCGAGCAAGCAGUGGGACCGCUUUCUCAGAGCACCCAGAAACAACAGAUGAUGUCCUUCUGUUGGAAAUACGGUCUUCAUAUGCGGUUUACAGCAGAGCAGAAAACGCAAGGUCCACUCGGAGGCUGAAAGAACAACAGUCCUUUUGAGCUGCAGUUAAUCAGAGAGAAGAAAAAGAACGCGAGAAACCAGCCGUUACCCAACUGCAAACGAGAGGGACACACCUUGUGAGUUGCACUGGGUGCCGUCGACUUCCUGCCCCCCGUCUGUGAGCACGGACCCCGCACUGUCUCUAGGUGGAGGGUGACAUGCUGUGCGUGAGGCGCGUGCAUGACCGU